AUCCGUAAUGAUAGGUCGCACGUGUGGAAAAGGGAUUCUUGGGAUGUAGAAUGGAGUUAAGUCUUCACGGCUAUAUGCUUGAAAUUCAGUGGAGCAUAUGUGCACAUGAAGUGGAAUAAUCCCCACUCAAGGAUAUGAGCAAUAUCAGAGCUGGAUUUUAGCUCUGAAAAGUGUGAGUAAGACCAUUUUUCACUAUUUUAUAAUUUUAUUCCUCUGUAUACUGUGCCAUUGGAGUCCUGUGUUUAUCUUUCUUCUCUCUAUAUAUGCUCCACUGAAUUUCAAGCAUAUAGCCGUGAAGACUUAACUCCAUUCUACAUCCCAAGAAUCCCUUGUCCACACGUGGGACCUAUCAUUACGGAUUUAUGAUAAGUUUUUUGGACUAACUGGAAAUCAUUUAUUUUAUUUUAAUACUUUAAUAUAUUUUAUACGUUUUACUAAAUAUUUUAGGCACACCCUUAUUUUACUGUUUUUUUUUGUGUUCCUUCUUAUUACCAGGGGAUUAGAGGGGAUUCCCCUUUGUGGCGUGCCGCCUUCCUAUUAUCUUCUUUUGUGGCAAUUUAGCGCUGAUGAAUGAAGAUCCCUUAACAAAAAAAGACAAGCUUGCAUUAAAUUCUAGACAAUGCCAGAGUGGAUUAGGAUUUGUUUUUACCUUAGGCAGCUCCUCUAGAUUUUCUUUUAAGAAAAUACUUGCUUCUUCUGUGUCUUCAUAGACCAUCCAAAAAUAAUGUUUUCUUAAAUUAUUUUUAAAUUAUUUUGUUUGUAAUAAUCAAAUACUGUAUGACAAAUAAACAUGUCCUGUUUUAUCAGUACCCACAAAGGACUACCGAAAAUGGGACUUAAAGGAACACUAUAAUCACCUAAAUUACUUUAGCUAAAUAAAGCAGUUUUAGUGUAUAGAUCAUUCCCCUGCAAUUUCACUGCUCAAUUCACUGUCAUUUAGGAGUUAAAUCACUUUGUUUCUGUUUAUGCAGCCCUAGCCACACCUCCCCUGGCUAUGAUUGACAGAGCCUGCAUGAAAAAAAAAAAACUGGUUUCACUUUUAAACAGAUGUAAUUUACCUUAAAUAAUUGUAUCUCAAUCUCUAAAUUGAACUUUAAUCACAUACAGGAGGCUCUUGCAGGGUCUAGCAAGCUAUUAACAUAGCAGGGGAUAAGAAAAUCUUAAUUAAACAGAACUUGCAAUAAAGAAAGCCUAAAUAGGGCUCUCUUUACAGGAAGUGUUUAUGGAAGGCUGUGCAAGUCACAUGCAGGGAGGUGUGAAUAGGGUUCAUAAACAAAGGGAUUUAACUCCUAAAUGGCAGAGGAUUGAGCAGUGAGGCUGCAGGGGCAUGUUCUAUACACCAAAACUGCUUCAUUAAGCUAAAGUUGUUCAGGUGACUAUAGUGUCCCUUUCAAGUAUGGUUGACAAAACACGUAUACCUGUAUGUCAUAAAUAAGACUUUAGCCAAAAUGUAUGCAACAAACCAGCAUGUGUCAGGCCUAGAAUAUGUAUGAUAUAGAAACAAAUUCAAAGGGUGGGGUAAAUGGCACAUUAGUGAAACGUUGGGUAAGCUAUGGAAGAACAGAUUAUGCAAUAUAUAGAGGUUAAAGAUUUAGCCCAAGAAAUGCAAAAACAAUAAGUAAAGUUUUUUUAGCAUAUCCACUUAGAAUUCAGCAUUCAAUGGUGUGACAUAUGUAUGGUCAUUUGUUGACAAUAACAUCAGAGUAAAUGGAACAUAAAAAAUAAAGCAUUGUUUUGUAAUGUUUCCUAUUUUUAAAGACAAUAUUGCUGAGGUGACACACUGCAGGGUUAAAUCUUGCCAUAAUGGUGGGGUCACACUGGACAUGUGCAAAGUUGGAUACUUCUAAUGUGAAGCAUUAAACACGAUGCUUCCCUAUGAUUAAUCUUAGUGUUUGGUGAUGCUGAACAUGAAGAUGAUGAGGAAGUGCUUUGAGUAGUUUAGAAGCUGUCAGUUUGAGACAAAACUAGACACAGAACGUGUGCUUCUCAGUGAAUGUGAAUGUCCCUUCUCAAGGGAUAAACUGCUAAUCUUAGAAAUUGUAUGUUAUCUUCAAAUUGCAAAUUUUAGGGCAAAGUAUUUUUGCAUUACCUAGUCGGUUCCCCGUAAUUCAUGCUUUAGUGAAUCUGAUAGGCCAAGUAGUACAUGUUCUAUUAGUAAUGUACCCUUGGGGCUUACAAGGAUGGAAGGAAAGUGUGUUAAAGGGACACUAUAGUCACCUGAACAACUUUAGCUUAAUGAAGCAGUUUUGGUGUAUAGAACAAGCCCCUGCAGCCUCACUGCUCAAUCAUCUGCCAUUUAGGAGUUAAAUCCCUUUGUUUAUGAACCCUAGUCACACCUCCCUGCAUGUGACUUGCACAGCCUUCCAUAAACACUUCCUGUAAAGAGAGCCCUAUUUAGGAUUUCUUUAUUGCAAAUUCUGUUUAAUUUAAAUUUUCUUAUCCCCUGCUAUGUUAAUAGCUUGCUAGACCCUGCAAGAGCCUCCUGUAUGUGAUUAAAGUUCAAUUUAGAGGUUGAGAUACACUUAUUUAAGGUAAAUUACAUCUGUUUGAAAGUGAAACCAGUUUUUUGUUUUCAUGCAGGCUCUGUCAAUCAAAACCAGGGGAGGUGUGGCUAGGGCUGCAUAAACAGAAACAAAGUGAUUUAACUCCUAAAUGACAGUGAAUUGAGCAGUGAAAUUGCAGGGGAAUGAUCUAUACACUAAAACUCCUUCAUUUAGCUAAAGUAAUUUAGGUGACUAUAGUGUUCCUUUAAUGAGUAUGUAUUUUUUUUUUGUAAUACCAUACCAACCAGCAGUGCCUGCAUGUCACAUUCCCCUGAGGGAUCCUUCACUACCACUCAGGCUAAUCCCAGAACUACAUAAACGCUUUCAUUAACCAUGAUGUCUGGAGAUUUUGAAAAUGGACAGUAAUAUAUAGUUAUUGCAGUGAAUACAGUUAACAAUAUGCAUUAUUAUGAAGCCACUGUGUGGUUCACCAGAUCAUUUUGACGUAUGGUGAUCUAGUUCUAAUGGACAGAAUAUGUCCUUGUUUACAUUGCAAAUAUAGCACAUGCAUUCUCUAAAUAAAUGACUAAAACAGAA